rnacentral:rRNA from 1 species
UACGGAGGGUGCGAGCGUUGUCCGGAAUCAUUGGGCGUAAAGAGCGUGUAGGCGGCUCGAUAAGUCCGCUGUGAAAGUCCAGGGCUCAACCCUGGGAUGCCGGUGGAUACUGUCGGGCUCGAGUCCGGAAGAGGCGAGUGGAAUUCCUGGUGUAGCGGUGAAAUGCGCAGAUAUCAGGAGGAACACCUAUUGCGAAGGCAGCUCGCUGGGACGUAACUGACGCUGAGACGCGAAAGCGUGGGGAGCAAACAGG